rnacentral:lncRNA from 1 species
GACUGUGCUGUCGUAACGCGAAGAGUGCUCGCGGGAGGGGUUCGCGUCCACAGAGCGCCGUCUUGCAGUGGCCGUUGUCAUUACUCAUCUCCGCAGCAGGCCAGGGCGGGAGGGAGAAGCGGAUGGUAUAGAACCCGGAGGGACCGAAGCAGGUGGACCGCAUGGACCACAGAUACCGAUGGUCUGAAUGGGUUCUUUGCGCGGGCAGCCGGGCAACCCCGUGUCGAUGGCCGGGAGAGGUACUGCUAGGGAGCAUCAUGAGCGGAACUAAGAUAAAAACAUUGCUUCGCAGAACACUAGACUUGUUGGAAGGCGCAUGUGAUGGGAGGAUCC